UGUGUCAGUCAGUGUGUAUGUGUCAGUCAGUGUGUAUGUGUCAGUCAGUGUGUAUCCGGGGCGGCAGGUAGCCUAAUGGUUAGAGGGGCGGGCCAGUAACCGAAAGGUUGCUAGAUCAAAUCCCCGAGCUGACAAGGUAAAAAUCUGUCGUUCUGCCCCUGAACAAGGCAGUUAACCCACUGUUCCCCAGUAGGCCGUCAUUGUAAAUAAGAAUGUGUUCUUAACUGACCUGCCUAGUUAAAUAAAUGUUAAAUAUGAAUAUAUAUAUAUUUUUUAAAUCUGUCAGUCAGUGUGUAGCUGUCAGUCACCCAAUACCCCUUCAUCCCUUGUCAGGUCAAACAGUACAUACAGCAGGUAGAGAGUGUGUGUGUUGUAACCUUCCUGUCCCUGGUCCAGAUGGUACAUACAGCAGGUAGAGAGUGUGUGUGUUGUAACCUUCCUGUCCCUGGUCCAGAUGGUACAUACAGCAGGUAGAGAGUGUGUGUGUUGUAACCUUCCUGUCCCUGGUCCAGAUGGUACAUACAGCAGGUAGAGAGUGUGUGUGUUGUAACCUUCCUGUCCCUGGUCCAGAUGGUACAUACAGCAGGUAGAGAGUGUGUGUGUUGUAACCUUCCUGUCCCUGGUCCAGAUGGUACAUACAGCAGGUAGAGAGUGUGUGUGUUGUAACCUUCCUGUCCCUGGUCCAGAUGGUACAUACAGCAGGUAGAGAGUGUGUGUGUUGUAACCUUCCUGUCCCUGGUCCAGAUGGUACAUACAGCAGGUAGAGAGUGUGUGUGUUGUAACCUUCCUGUCCCUGGUCCAGAUGGUACAUACAGCAGGUAGAGAGUGUGUGUGUUGUAACCUUCCUGUCCCUGGUCCAGAUGGUACAUACAGCAGGUAGAGAGUGUGUGUGUUGUAACCUUCCUGUCCCUGGUCCAGAUGGUACAUACAGCAGGUAGAGAGUGUGUGUGUUGUAACCUUCCUGUCCCUGGUCCAGAUGGUACAUACAGCAGGUAGAGAGUGUGUGUGUUUUAACCUUCCUGUCCCUG